UAGGGAAUCUUCGGCAAUGGACGAAAGUCUGACCGAGCAACGCCGCGGGAGUGAAGAAGGUUGUCGGAUCGUAAAACUCUGUUGUUAGAGAAGAACAAGGACGUUAGUAACUGAACGUCCCCUGACGGUAUCUAACCAGAAAGCCACGGCUAACUACGUGCCAGCAGCCGCGGGAAUACGUAGGUGGCAAGCGUUGUCCGGAUGUAUUGGGCGUAAAGCGAGCGCAGGCGGUUUCUUAAGUCUGAUGUGAAAGCCCCCGGCUCAACCGGGGAGGGUCAUUGGCAACUGGGCGACUUGAGUGCCGAAGAGGAGAGUGGAAUUCCAUGUGUAGCGGUGAAAUGCGUAGAUAUAUGGAGGAACACCAGUGGCGAAGGCGGCUCUCUGGUCUGUAACUGACGCUGAGGCUCGAAAGCGUGGGGAGCCAACAGG
rnacentral:rRNA from 1 species